rnacentral:rRNA from 1 species
GUGCUUAACACAUGCAAGUCGAACGGAAAGGCCCCUUCGGGGGUGCUCGAGUGGCGAACGGGUGAGUAACACGUGGGUGAUCUGCCCUGCACUUUGGGAUAAGCCUGGGAAACUGGGUCUAAUACCGAAUACACCCUGCUGGUCGCAUGGCCUGGUGGGGGAAAGCGUUUGUAGCGGUGUGGGAUGAGCCCGCGGCCUAUCAGCUUGUUGGUGGGGUGAUGGCCUACCAAGGCGACGACGGGUAGCCGGCCUGAGAGGGUGACCGGCCACACUGGGACUGAGAUACGGCCCAGACUCCUACGGGAGGCAGCAGUGGGGAAUAUUGCACAAUGGGCGCAAGCCUGAUGCAGCGACGCCGCGUGAGGGAUGACGGCCUUCGGGUUGUAAACCUCUUUCAGUGCCGACGAAGCGGAAGUGACGGUAGGCACAGAAGAAGGACCGGCCAACUACGUGCCAGCAGCCGCGGUAAUACGUAGGGUCCGAGCGUUGUCCGGAAUUACUGGGCGUAAAGAGCUCGUAGGUGGUUUGUCGCGUUGUUCGUGAAAUC